AAUGGCUGCAUCGCGGUGCCGUAUGGCGUGCGGAGCUGCCCCGUAAUCAGGGAAGUGGCUGGGCGACAGAGGGGGAAAGUAGCGAUGGCGCGGAGUCCUACUGUGUUUGCCGCCCUUCGAGGUUCUAAAGAUGAGCUGAUGGAUAGCCGGGGGUCUGGCGUAUGCUCCAUCCCGGCGGUUCGCGAUGACACUGGACGGGCCUCUGCAUGCGUCGGUUGCGCAGCACGCACCCUGGCGGGGGGAGUGGAGGAGCACCGUGGAGAUGUGCGGCUGGGCAGCGUCUCCACGGGCCUGGCGGGGGCGUGUUGCGCGGAC
rnacentral:lncRNA from 1 species